CAGAUCUCCCAACCGCUGCGCCGAUAAGUCGAUCCGGUCCGUCGCUCCCCUGUUUACGCCCGGCUCGUCGAUCGUCUCCAACCGCCCAAAUCCGCACCGCCCGCCUGCCCAACUCCUCCCCUCCCCGCCGCCAUCGCUCCUCCCUCACACGUUGUCGCCGUCACUUCCUCCGCCGCGCGGCGUCCGAUCCGAUCGGUGGCCGCCUCCUUCGAAGCCAUCCUAAGGGUGUCCCGGAGUCAGCGACAGGAGAUUCAACAUGCCAACGUCCGCCUCAAUCCACGCUAAAAUCCCUCACCGCGCACCCGUCCCUCUGCGCCGCCGUCGUCUCCUAGAAAGACUGGACGCUUACUCGGGUGGAAGGCACAAUCAACGAAACACAUCUCGAAGCGCCUUGCUCUCUCGCCUUCGCUUGCCUCCCCUCCCGGACCAGCACAUGAGCCAGCUCGCCCCUGAUGGCCGCGGCGAUGGACGUCGACGCCGCCGCUGGAGGGCAUAGGCAACUUUCGGAGAAGGACCUCUUCCUCGCGGCGGAAUCCGACGACGCCGCCGCGUUCGCCUCCCUCGCCCCCGCUGACCUCGCCGCGGCCCUCUCCCUCCGCAACAGGGACGGCCGCUCCCUGCUCCACGUCGCCGCCGCCGCCGGCCACCACCAGGCAAAGAGGCCUUCUGCUGUUUAGAAUCGAAUAUGUUGGGUGUCUGGGUUUAGACUUCUGACUAUUUUGCGAUGCUGUGGUGGGUUUAGGUGGUGCUCGCACUUGCGGAGGCCGGUCGUGAUGCCGCGGCCAGCGUCGUGAACGCGAAGGACGAGGAGGGGUGCGCGCCGAUCCACUCUGCGGCGAGCAUCGGCAACGCCCAGAUCGUUGACAUCUUGCUUGAGCAAGGUGUUGCAUGAGGUUGCUACAGUGGUGCUGCUCCAAUAACCAAAAUUGAUACUUGGGGUGGUAUUUUCCCCUUUGCAACCAAGUAAAAAGUCCGGAAAACAAACAAUGGUUCUCUUGAGUUAUAUAGUUCAUGAUGAGGGGACAAUUCGGAUCAUUUGGUGUAUUGAGUUGACCAUUAUGCGUGAUCAUUAAAA